UCUGCCCUAUCAAUUUGUUUCCCAGGUGAUCUGCCUACCAUGAUAAUAACGAGUAACGAGGAAUCAGGAUUCGAUCUCGGAGAGGGAGGCUGAGAAAUGACUACCAUAACCAAGGACGGCAGCAGGCGCGAAAAUUCACUGUCAAUAAUGAAUGAUCGAAUAA
rnacentral:ncRNA from 1 species